rnacentral:rRNA from 1 species
GACGAACGCUGGCGGCGUGCUUAAUACAUGCAAGUCGAACGGAAAGGCGCUGCUCUUGUGGGGUUCUCGAGUGGCGAACGCGGGAGUGACACGCGAGUAACCUGCACUUGACUUUGUGAUAACUUCAGGAAACUGGGGCUAAUAUCGGGUAGGAGCUCCUGCUGCAUGGGGGGGGUUGGAAAGUGUCGGCGGUUGGGGAUGGUCUCGCGGCUUAUCAGCUGGUUUGGGUGGUAGUGGCGUACCAAGGGUUUGACGGGUAGCCGGCCUGAGAGGUUGACCGGCCACAUUGGGCCUGAGAUACGGAGCAGAAUCCUAUGGGAGGCAGCAGUGGGGAGUAUUGCACAAUGGGCGGAAGUGUGAUGCAGCAACGCCGCGUGCGGGAUGACGGCUUUUGGGUUGUAAACCGCUUUCGCAGGUGAUGAAGACUGAGUGACGGUACUGGGUAAAGAAGCACCGGCUAACUACGUG